CACGUACUUUCUCAGUGCACUUCUACCCAGGCGAUGUUCUUCUGACUCUCGGUAGUAAGUCUGCUUGCCAAUUUCCCUUUCCCAAAAGCGUUUGAGCUCGUGACAGGUGUUCCGGCAGAAGACCUCUCGGCGGACGUACUGAUUGUUCAUCCCCUGAAAAAGAAGAUAUCAGCUGAACCCUCAUAGAAGGACUUUGGAAGGUCUCCAGGAAAUUCCAAAGUGAGGGAGGUUUGGCAGCAAUAAUGGAACUGACUGACAACAGAGCCUGCAGAGACACAAAACCUGAGGGUAGCAAAACUUGGUCUGAUGGAGGAGCUGAGAUUGUACCAAGUGGAGGGGACCCUUGCUGCUUUUCUCUCUCUGUCCUCUCAUCCUGUGUCCCCAGAUGUGAUUGCAGCCACCAGAAGUGCACGGCAGAGCAGGUAACCAAAGCCUCAAGUUUCUGGCCAAAGGACUGAAAAAGGAGAGUUCAGAGGAUUGGAAAUAACCAAGGAUACCAUGGAGGAAUUCAUCUUAUCAGAGCCUUGGUACAUGAACACUGGCACUGAUUUUUGGCUUUCUCACAGAGUUCAACUUGUUUUGAAUGUAUCACUUAAAUUUACAAAGUAGAGAAAACCCUUAUUAAGAUUUUUAGAUCAUUCUCAAGCAGAUACAAGUGAGAAUUCAGAAGGAAAGGUGAACCCCAGUGGCUGAAAAAGACAGUAACAAGGAGUAUACCUAUCACUUCCCCCAAGAGGUGCAAGAUGAACUUCCAUCCCAGGCACACCCGAGUUCAACAUCCUUUACCUUUGAAAUGAAUCUGCUGCUGUCUUGAGAGGACGGUAAAGAGGUGUGACUGCCUAGUGGAGCAGCAGAACCAGAACAUGCAGUGGAGGUUUUUGCAUCAGGGAAAGAGGGAGGCAGACUUGGAAGGCACUCUUCAAAGCAUCAGCUAUUCAAAAUGAUAGCAAGAACAGUGCUGAUACCACUGGACCAUAUAUACAGCUUAUGGAAAUUCCCUGGCCAGGGAUCAAACCUGUGCCACAGCGAUCCAAGCCAAUGCAGUGACAAUUCUGGAACCCAAACAGCUGUACCAUAGGAGAACUCCAAUGGGAAAACAUUUUUGAUUACAAGAGUUUCCUCAAAUUUUUUUGAAGCCAUCAUCAAGUCCUUUAAGAAAAAAACUUAUCCAAUUAAGCUUCUGAAGUGUUGCUACUUUCCCUGUGCUCACAAGUGAUCUGAAAACCUACUUAAUCCCCUAGCAUGGAAUUUCACAGCCUCCAUAAUUUGUUUAUUUCAAAGGACAAACAUUUGUGAUCUUCCUAAUUUGAUUGAAUUUUUUUUUUUCAUUUUAGGGCCACAUCCUCGGCAUAUGGAAGUUCCCAGGCUAGAGGUAGAAAUGAGAGCUAUAACAGCUAGCCUACACCACAGCCACAGUAACUUGGGAUCCGAGC